CAAUAGCGUAUAUUAAAGUUGUUGCGGUUAAAAGCUCGUAAGUUGGUUUCUGUUGAGGAUGGCCGGUCCGCUCUAUGAGCGUGUAUCUGGUUCAGCCUUGGCAUCUUCUUGGGAAGCGUAGCUACGCUUGAUUGCGCGGUGCGGUAUUCAAGACUUUUACUUUGAUGGAAAUUAGAGUGUUCACGGCAGGCAUUCGCCUUGAAUAUAUUAGCAUGGAAUAAUAAUAUAGGACCUUGGUUCUAUUUUGUUGGUUUCUAGAACUAAGGUAAUGAUUAAUAGGGAUAAUUGGGCGGAUUUGUAUUAACGCGUCAGAGGUGGAAUUCUUGGAUUGCGUUACGACAAACUACUGCGAAAGCAUUUGCCA
rnacentral:rRNA from 1 species